AUAAUCAUAGAGAUUUUUCUUGCCUCGAUACAUAGCUUGAAACUCUUGCUUUAAAGGGGAGCAAAGCUAAAAUUCAUUAGGCAUUCUACUUGGAUAAGAUAGGGGGAGCUUUUGGUUCAUUAAUACAUUCUCUAAAUUGGACUAUUUGAAACUUUUACACCAAAAGCAUUUCCUAUACAUUAAACCUUACUUCUCACAUGAAUAUCAAUUUGCUUAUACUCAAUAUUUUGUAAUCAUCAAAAAGGGGGAGAUUGAGGAUCCUAGUGUUA
rnacentral:lncRNA from 1 species